rnacentral:rRNA from 1 species
CCGGAGGCAGGCAGUGGAUAUGCGCAAUGGGGAAUGCUUGAUGCAGCAACGCGCGUAGGGUGAUGGAGUCUCCGAUCGUAAAGUCCUGUUUUCUGGACGAUAUGACGUACCCAGAGGAGGAAGCACGGCUAACUACGUGCCAGCAGCCGCGGUAAUACGUAGGUGGCGAGCGUUGUCCGGAUUUACUGGGCGUAAAGGGUGCGUAGGCGGAUGUUUAAGUGGGAUGUGAAAUCCCCGGGCUUAACCUGGGGGCUGCAUUCCAAACUGGAUAUCUAGAUUGCAGGAGAGGAAAGCGGAAUUUCCUAGUGUAGCGGUGAAAUGCGUAGAGAUUAGGAAGAACACCAGUGGCGAAGGCGGCUUUCUGGACUGUAACUGACGCUGAGGCACGAAAGCGUGGGUAGCAAACAGGAUUAGAUACCCUGGUAGUCCCCGCCGUAAACGAUGGAUACUAGGUGUAGGGGGUAUCAACUCCCCCUGUGCCGCAGUUAACACAAUAAGUAUCCCGCCUGGGGAGUACGGUCGCAAGAUUAAAACUCAAAGGAAUUGACGGGGGCCCGCACAAGCAGCGGAGCAUGUGGUUUAAUUCGAAGCAACGCGAAGACCCUUACCUGGACUUGACAUCCCUUGCAUAGCCUAGAGAUAGGUGAAGCCCUUCGGGGCAAGGAGACAGGUGGUGCAUGGUUGUCGUCAGCUCGUGUCGUGAGAUGUUAGGUUAAGUCCUGCAACGAGCGCAACCCUUGUUAUUAGUUGCUACCAUUAAGUUGAGCACUCUAAUGAGACUGCCUGGGUAACCAGGAGGAAGGUGGGGAUGACGUCAAAUCAUCAUGCCCCUUAUGUCCAGGGCUACACACGUGCUACAAUGGUAGGUACAAUAAGACGCAAGACCGUGAGGUGGAGCAAAACUUAUAAAACCUAUCUCAGUUCGGAUUGUAGGCUGCAACUCGCCUACAUGAAGCUGGAGUUGCUAGUAAUCGCGAAUCAGAAUGUCGCGGUGAAUACGUUCCCGGGCCUUGUACACACCGCCCGUCACACCAUGAGAGCUGGUAACACCCGAAGUCCGUGAGGUAACCGUAAGGAGCCAGCGCCGAAGUUGAU